UUGACCUCGGAUCAGGUAGGGAUACCCGCUGAACUUAAGCAUAUCAAUAAGCGGAGGAAAAGAAACCAACAGGGAUUGCCCUAGUAACGGCGAGUGAAGCGGCAACAGCUCAAAUUUGAAAUCUGGCGUCUUUGGCGUCCGAGUUGUAAUUUGCAGAGGGCGCUUUGGCAUUGGCAGCGGUCCAAGUUCCUUGGAACAGGACGUCACAGAGGGUGAGAAUCCCGUACGUGGUCGCUAGCCUUUACCGUGUAAAGCCCCUUCGACGAGUCGAGUUGUUUGGGAAUGCAGCUCUAAAUGGGAGGUAAAUUUCUUCUAAAGCUAAAUACUGGCCAGAGACCGAUAGCGCACAAGUAGAGUGAUCGAAAGAUGAAAAGCACUUUGGAAAGAGAGUUAAAAAGCACGUGAAAUUGUUGAAAGGGAAGCGCUUGCAGCCAGACUUGCCUGUAGUUGCUCAUCCGGGUUUCUACCCGGUGCACUCUUCUACGGGCAGGCCAGCAUCAGUUUGGGCGGUUGGAUAAAGGUCUCUGUCAUGUACCUCCCUUCGGGGAGAUCUUAUAGGGGAG
rnacentral:rRNA from 1 species